rnacentral:lncRNA from 1 species
AGGGUCUGCGGGUCCCCCCGGGCUUCCCAGCCUCGCGCCCGCCCGCCAGGCGCUUCACCCCCUCUAGGACCGCGGCCCACGCCCCCACCCGAACCCGAGCCUGAGCCCACGCGCGAGGGCCGCUUCCUGCGAGGAGGCGGGGACAGGUGUCCGCGGGCGCAAACAGCGGAGUUUCGUGCGCCUAUUUUUUGGUAAAAGUAGAGGCGAUGCGUUGUUGACAUAUUUAGAGGUUAAAAACCUACUGCUAAAUUCUCAACAGAUUCCAGAAUUUUUUAAAGUUCACAACACAAGAGUGGACGAAAUGUCGGAGCUUUUUCUCAUAUCCAGAAAUGUGGCCUCUGCCUCCCACCCGGGCCCUGCGGUGCAGACGGGUUCAGGGCGGCGAGGACUGAGCCAGGAGCGCAGAGUUCCAGCUGCUCCCAGGCUGGGUUCUAAUUAACACUGGACCCCUGCUGAGAUGGGGUCUCACUGUGUUGCCCAGGCUGGAAUGCAGUGGUGCAAUCUCGGCUCACUGCGACCUCUGCGUCCUGGGUUCAAGCAAUUCUCCUG